CAGUCGCCGCGGGAAUACAGAGGGUGCGAGCGUUAAUCGGAUUUACUGGGCGUAAAGCGUGCGUAGGCGGCUUCUUAAGUCGGAUGUGAAAUCCCUGAGCUUAACUUAGGAAUUGCAUUCGAUACUGGGAAGCUAGAGUAUGGGAGAGGAUGGUAGAAUUCCAGGUGUAGCGGUGAAAUGCGUAGAGAUCGGGAGGAACAUCAGUGGCGAAGGCGGCCAUCUGGGACAACACUGACGCUGAGGCACGAAAGCGUGGGGAGCAAACAGGAUUAGAUACCCGGGUAGUCCCUGUCUCUUAUAA
rnacentral:rRNA from 1 species